GGAUGGAGAGCAGUGAGAGGAUCUCUGUGAACUUUCUGUCAUGAAGCGCAAUUUGCAGGAACUAAUGAUCGUACAAUGGUUGGUCUGAAGAAAGAAAUCCAUCAACCAAGCAUCCCGAGAGUGAUCUGAGCAACAACGUUCCCAGGAUAAUAGAAGACUUAAUGGCCUCAAGUAGCAGGGGACCCUAAGGCAAUAGCGUGUGAAGGAGAUGGUGAACCUGGAAUCCCACGCACAGGUAAAGAACUGGCUGAGACAGAAGCAAGAACGCGGAUUCCUCUGACAGAUCCAUGUGUUUUAAAUUCCUUUACUCUGAAGUUUGGACAGGAGUGCAGAUGAAUUUUCAGUCACUGCUGCGAUGCUUGGUUGCCAUCACCUACACCGAGAUCCUCACGGUUAUGACUCACACCCAUCCCAGGUGACUUCUGCCUACCGGCCAGAUUCUCCUUUAAAAUGUUAGCCGCCCAGCGGAAAAAAAAUUUCUAAAUUAGCUUGGCCCAAACCAAGAAGAUAAAUCUGUUGUCAAGAUGAUGUGUAAUGCCUUUCUAGGUAGACAAUCAAUCAAUGGCACUGAUUCGAUCAUGCAUUAUAUCAAAUCACCAUUGUUUACUUAUUAAAUUAGAAUGUGGACCAAACCAAAGAUUUUGGGUUUGGUGGUCUCUUUUUGGCAAAAUGAUAAGCAAAUGUUUUUUUCUUAUUCAGUUCUUUCAGUGGUUGAAGUUGUUCUACCAGUGUAGGCAGAUUGAAUGGAAACUACACAGAACUCUAAUUGAGAUGACUUAGGGCCGGGUCACAGCUCUGUAACUGCUGUCUAUUUUGAGCAAUUCACCUAAUUUCUCUGAGCUACACUUUCAGAAUCCGUAAAAAAAGAAACCUAACACACAGCAGUAUUUUGAGUGAAACUGAGACAACAUACAUGUAACUGCUUGGCACAGAAGGGGAGCUUGAUAAAAGCUCAUUUACCAGUUGUUUUACCCAAGAGUCUCCAGGAAAUGUUGAAAAGGCAAUUAUUCAAUAGAGAAUGGGAGACAGACACUAAGAACCUGUAUAAGCAAAUAGAAAAGCUUGUACGGGGGCUGGCGCUGUGGCAUAGCAGGUAAAGCCUGUGGUGCGGGCUGUUCCACUCUGAUCUGGCUCCCGCGUAAUGGCCUGGGAAAGCAGCAGAAGAUGGCCCAAGUGCUUGGACCCCUGCACCCAUGUGGGAGACCCAGAAGAAGCUCCUGGCUUCCAACCGGCCCAACUAUGGCCACUGCAGUCAUUUGGGGAAUGAACCAGCAAAUGGAACAUCAUGCUCUCUCUCUUUCUAACUCUGCCUUUCAAAUAAAUCAAUAAUAAAUCUUAAAAAAAGAAAAGCUUGUAUGUCUGAGAUCUCAUAUCACGCUACAGCAUCCACAGGAUUCCCAGGAUUGGCCUCUCUUCUGACAGCUGCACUGGUCACGAGAGUGGGCUUGGAAGCCCAGAACUGCCAGUUCACUGAAGUGUGCCAGGACCUGCAAGGUGUCUGUUGCCUGCGACCCCCACCACUGUUACCUAUAACCCUGCCCAGCAAAACUACGAAUUUCUACAGUUCAGUUGAUCCAAGAAACUUCUCUUAGACUCACUGUAGAUGUUUUCUGAGGAUAAACAGUGCCACGGGAAAAGAAUUUAACCCAGGUAGAUACUAUAGUCCCCUAAUGUCUGCUAGCCAUAAACUCCAGCUGAAAGUCUGAAAAGUUUGCCUCCUCCCUGGGUCUUCUAGUGUCAGAAGAACUCCAGGGAGAAAGGUGGAUGUUUUGACUCUCUAUUGGGAAUCAUGAUGCCAACUUGGGGGAGGCUUGGGGAAUCCCAUGAAGAACUGAAUGCCUGGACUUAAGUCAGAGCAGCCUCCGUGGACAGAGGCUCCCUGAUGCCCCGGGGCCCUUUACACCAAGAAGGGAUGGGCACAGCCGACUUGUGAUUGAAACAGGCUCUGGAGAAGCCCUCGGCAUUCACAUCUCUGUCCCACAGUGGGUGCUGGAAAUAGUUCACCGUCCUGCAUUCAUGAAGACAGGAGGGCAUGGGACAAAAAGUUUCAGGCUCACUGUAUUUCAUUCCCCCAAAUUGUCCUUGUCCUAGAGACAUGUACCCUUCAGGCAAGAAGUCAUUGCAACUCUCAAAGAUUUUAUAGGAAUUGGGUCAUCAGACUGGUACAGUGAAUAGGGUCCCUAGUGGGCUGAGAGCUGAAGACUGAGUGCCAGCUCUACCAGUGAUGGAACGCUGUAGGCAAAUUGCUUAGUCUCUGUGUGCCCCAAAUUGUUUGUUGUUAUUGUUGUUGCUGUUGUUUAAUUUAAAAAUAUUAUUUAAUGAGGGCAUGGACCUCAAUUAUCUUUGCCUGGACCAGGA